rnacentral:rRNA from 1 species
UACGGAGGGUGCAAGCGUUAUCCGGAAUCACUGGGUUUAAAGGGUGCGUAGGCGGUUCGUUAAGUCAGUUGUGAAAUUCCCCCGCUUAACGGGAGGGACUGCGAUUGAUACUGAUGAACUUGAAUCAGGUUGAGGUGGGCGGAAUGUGACAUGUAGCGGUGAAAUGCAUAGAUAUGUCAUAGAACACCGAUUGCGAAGGCAGCUUGCUGGACCCGUAUUGACGCUGAGGCACGAAAGCGUGGGGAGCAAACAGG